CGUCUUUUGUGUAUUGUGAAUUAUUCCUGCCCUUGUGAAUUUACGAAUGCCAUUUAAAAUAAUUCAAACGAUUGAAGGGAAUAAAAAGAAAUUAUUUACUGUUCCAUCGGGAUGGGAGAUCGAUAAUAUUCUAAGAUACCCUAACAAGGCUCCAUCGAAGUACAUUAAAGAUGAAAAUUCAAAACCUACGCCUGAGUGGGAGAUUAUGAAAUGUACAGUAAAACGGAUAAAUAUUUCAAGCUACGAGGCGGGUGAUAAGCAAAUUUCUGAAAUGAUGUAAUACAGCAACACGGAUGAAACCGAUGAUGAUAAUCGACUACAGCCACGACGUCCACAUUUCAGUUUCCUUAAUAUGUUGCUCAACGGAACCCUGUUGUGUACAGCUCACUCUUUCUUGAGCAAACCAUGUAAAAUUAUUCAUAAUAUCUUGAUUAUGUGACAAA